AAACGUCUUCAAAAGCUACUCUCUCUCUCUCUCUCUCUCUCUCUGCCAUUGCCACGGCCGAGACCUUUUUCGCCGCCGCAUCCUCUACCACGGAGAAAAGCUCCCAAAGCUGUUGACAAAGAUCUCUAUAGAAUCUCGCCAGAGCUCCUUCUCGCCAAGCACCGAAGAGUUGAAUCUGAGUACCUCCCUCUGUACACUAACUAUGGUCUAGGUCUUACCACUUGGAGUCCACUUGCAUCAGGAGUUUUGACUGGAAAAUAUAACUCUGGAACCAUCCCACCUGAUAGUCUGUUUGCAUUGGAAAAUUACGAGUUUUUUAAUUUUCAUGGCUCCGAGUGCUGAGAAGUGCAAAUAGGAUUACUGGAUUAUGUGGAACAUCUGUAUCUGGGUAUCUACCGUAAGAGUCUCACGUCAGUUUUGUCUUAAGGGUGCAAUUCUGGGUUCUGUGGUUUUGUUUUGUUUUUAUUUGAUUUUCUCUGCCUAGGUUGGUUUUGUAUUUCAGAGCUCAUGCUUUUGCAAAUGGAUUUCGCUUGUGAAGUUUUGUCAUUCUUUUAACAAUUUUUUCUUCAUGAAUUGUUUGUGUUAGUGAAAUAGAUUUUCUUCUAAACUAAGAAAUGAAAAAUAGAGAAAAGACCUAAAAAUUAGGAUACGGGUACAACCAACAUACAUUCGUAAAAUAUAUAUAUAAUUUUUAGUAUUGUAUUAUAUAUAAACUCAAACCAUUUUUGAGCCAAUGGCC